AUUGCAGCCGUGUAGAUGAGUCUGCAAGCGCCACCGCGUAGGCACACGGGGUCAGCAACAUACAACGGGGCACAACACAUACACAAUAGCAGACGAGCAACAACACAGUGCAACAACGGAGUAGUGCUGUUGUUCGGCAAAGUGCACAAAAAAUAGUCGAGCAGAGAAGUGCAGUUUUCAACUCGUCUGCUGCCAAAGAAGCAACCGUCGAACCGUCGGAGCCUUCGCGUGGUGGUGCAUCAUAGGCGCACGGCAAAAGAGAAAGCAUCCCACCAGCAACAACACUCCGCGUGUGUGUGUGUUUGUGUGUGCGAGGGGAGAGGAUAUGUUCGAGGCACAUUCGGUGCAUUGCUGCUGUGUGUUUGUGAGCCCGGAGUAGCGAGUCACCGAAAAUCAGCUGUGCCGUUUGAUGUGCGUAUGCAAUCCGCUCGCGACCGGGCCCUUCACUUAUCCAGAUCGCGAUCGUACGCGCCUCCCAUCGAUAGCACUGUGUCUGUGUGUGAUUGUGUUUGUCACUGUUGUCCCGCGCAUGUAGUGUGUCCGGUACCGAUCUAGCUGGAUGGUAUUAUGGUUAGUCAUCGACGAUCAAUUCGCCACGCUUCACAGCCGUGCCACUAGAAGAAGAAGUGAAUGCAGCUCCAGCUGUUGUAAGAGUGCGUGUGUGUGUGCGUGUGUGGGUAGUGUUGUUUCUUAUUGUGCGCGGGGUUGUACGUGUGUAUGUGUUUGUGUGUCGACCGUCUGCGUGUGAUGAUCGACGGAAGGUACCAACGUCUUUGCUGAUCGCGAAUGGAAAGAAGGCCGUGAUUCGCGCACCAGAUUACACGCAAGAAGAAGCUUUGUGAAUGUAUGUGCUGUAUGAUCGUGGUUGUGUGCGUGUUUGCGUAAGUUCGAGCGGAGGAAACAGUGGAUACGUACGCGGAGUGUGUUAUCGCCACCCGCCCGAAGAAAACACCCGCCGAAAGGCAAUAGAAAGGAGCUAAAAACAGCGAGGUGGCAGCGUGGCACGAGCAAGUUUCACCUGGUGCCGAUCCGGAGGUGACGCGAGAGAGAGAGAGAGGGGAAGAUAGCAGCUACAAUAUAUCAUCAUAACUCGCGGUCGCAACAACGGAGUUGAAAAACAAAAGAAUUGCUGUAACAUCACUGUCAGAAGCACAAAUAUUGGUGUGGAAGGAAGAAUCGUCCUUACGCGGCAAUUCGAUACGCGCCUGACUACCAGUAAGCGUCCCGCAGUGCUAGCAAACUCCACUUCAUCUACAAAACACACGACACAUCUACGGACACCCCGUUGUGGCAGGAUACAUCAUCACCAGCAGCGCGAUCAGCCUGGGCAUAGCCCAACAAACACAUCUGAACUCACAAAAUCUACCAUCGAAUCUACACCAUCAUCUAAACCACCGGAACGAAGAGAGAGGGAGAGGGAGAGAGAGUGAGAAGAUAAGCACAAAACCCCGAAGCGACCGAAUCGUGAAAUUAGUGUGUACACCAUUUUAUGCCAAAAAUUUUCGUAGCGAAGCUAAGCGACGAACUCCGUGUAUCGCCCGUGGUAUCGUAGUGGUGGCGAAAGCAGGGCAGCGCGCGCAACCUAUCCAAGCCCCCAAAAGCCGUCAGCUUUUCCUCCGAUUUUCCUGUCCCUGCGAACGUAGAAGGGCGCGUAGAGAAGGCUUUUUCCCGGGGACCUAACAUACUUACCUCACCAGUAUACGCCACCGCGCCAACGCUGGUCAAUAUUUUCAAAAGUAUUAAACAUUUGAUUGGUUUUUGCUCUUUGUAUCGGUAUUUUUUUUUUAAGGGCAAGGGUUUUAGCCGGUGUUGUUGUGUAUUACGCUUUAUCUGUUUACGCCAUCCCGUGUAUCUGUUUGUUUUUUUGCUCGUAACCUCCUGUUAUUAGUUUAGUUAAGUUAGUGUUUUUAGUUGAAACUAGCCAACUCCCCGGCGGUAGAUUAGCACACACGCAUACCAUCCAGCCACAUCACAACAGCUUCCGAACAAGUACGCUUUAUUUAUACAUUAUUAAUUAGACCACACCAUCCUUCUGUAUCGGUUUUUUUUUUUUGCUGAGGAUAAGCUUCCCACGGCAUAUCUUUGUGCGCUUCCUUUCAAUUUGUCUAUGUUAUUUUUUUUUUUGGUUUGUGAUUUCCGUAAGAUGCAGCACGUACACGCUUAAAGCGAAUUACGUCAACAUUUAAGAAAGAUAUAUUUAACAGUAUUUUUGUUAUUUCCCUCCCAUCGAGGAACGAGGUACAGUGAGAGAUUUAUUUAUUAGGUACAGAAAUAUCUGCACUCAAACGCAACAAUACAAGUGAUACGCACCAAGAUACCACAGCACAGUAUAGGGAGUAUUUGUUUUAUUUAUCAAAUUGUGCGCAGUCCUUAUAUUUAAGGGUAUAAGAUCUUAAGAUAGAUGUAGGAAAGGAAAUCCGGGAAAGCUUUCAACGCACGUCGGAACUUUCUUCAUCAUCGCACAAAGACAGGAGAAUUAUAGGGAAAGCCCUCCCCCCCUACAAGCUUGGACAGGUAGUGCAUUGAUCGGUUGCUACGGUUCCGUGACGGUUUGCUGGCUUAGCUCCUCAGCUUAACCGACGACGGCUAUAUCUCGCCGCUAGCUAAACUAUGAACUAGUUCCGCUGUCUGAGCGCGUAUCUACUGUCGAGGGCACAGCGAUCGAAACGAAACGAUCAUUCAAAUACUCGCUCGUGAGGUUGAUCAUUCCUUGUCACGUCAUCACCAUCACACAUCACCUCAUCCUGUCGCGUGUCGUGUCCCACCUUCCGCCGCCAUUCCUCCAUUUUCCUUCCGCCGCGCUCCGCUAGUAUGACCCUCACGGUGUCGGAAACGGACAGCAGUAGUCUAAGGAAUCCGGACAUGACCGAAACUCUACCAAGCUCUGAACUAUCCCUACUAGCCAAACUGGAGGCCGCCAACAAGCUAAUCGAGAGCGACUCGAAGAGUCUCAACUCGCUCCAAAGCUCGGCGCACAGCCGCAAAAGUUCCGACACGAGCCAGAUCAGUUUAAACUCGGGCGCCUCCUCGGUCGGUGAGGAGGAUGUGUGGUCAACCUGGGCCACCAUCGUCACCGACUGGGAGGCGAGCCAGAAGCGCAAAGGGCCGACGGUGAAGGAGCUGGUGCGCAAAGGCAUACCGCACCACUUUCGGGCGAUCGUGUGGCAGCUGCUGUGUGGAGCGUCCGACGCGGACAAGAAGCAGUACGCCGAGUACAUUAAGGCGACGAGCGCUUGCGAGAAGGUGAUUCGGCGGGACAUUGCCCGUACCUAUCCGGAGCAUGACUUCUUCAAGGAGAAGGAUGGGCUCGGGCAGGAGGCGCUGUUCAAUGUGAUGAAGGCGUACUCGCUGCACGAUCGCGAGGUUGGCUACUGUCAGGGAUCUGGUUUCAUCGUUGGACUGCUGCUGAUGCAGAUGCCCGAAGAGGAAGCGUUCGCAGUGCUGGUGCAGAUAAUGCAGCAGUACCGGAUGCGCGACAUGUUCAAACCCUCCAUGGCGGAACUGGGGCUGUGCAUGUACCAGCUGGAGAAUAUCGUGCAGGAGCAAAUACCGGAGCUGCAUCUGCACUUCCAAUCGCAAAGCUUCCAAACGUCCAUGUACGCAUCGAGCUGGUUCCUGACCCUGUACACUACCGCACUCAAUCUCACGCUCAGCUGUCGCAUCAUGGACGUGUUCCUGUCGGAGGGGAUGGAGUUUAUCUUCAAGGUCGCGAUCGCGCUGCUGACGAUCGGCAAGGACACGCUGCUUUCGUUAGACAUGGAAGCAAUGCUUAAGUACUUCCAGAAAGAGUUGCCGCAGAAAGUGGAAAACGACGCAGAUGGACUGUUCAAUUUGGCCUUCCAGGUGAAGAUCAACACGAAAAAGAUGAAAAAGAUGGAGAAAGAGUAUGCCGACCUGCGCAAGAAGGAGCAGGAGGAAAUGGUGGAGCUAAGGCGACUUCGAAGCGAAAACCGCUUACUCAAAAAGCGAAACGAGCUGCUCGAGGCGGAAAGUGCCGAGCUGGCCGAUCGGCUCGUCCGGGGGCAGGUGUCACGUGCCGAAGAGGAGGAAACGAGCUACGCGAUUCAAUCCGAACUGCUCGCCCUCCGGCGGGCCCAUCUGGAGGUGUCACACCAGCUCGAGAACGCAAACGAGGAGGUGCGGGCGCUUAGCUUGCGGCUGCAGGAAAAUAAUCCGGACAAUUCGCUCGAAUCCAAUAACUCCCGACAGAACUCGUUCGAUGAGUUGAUUAUGAAGGAGGAGGCGCUAAAGCAGCGGGACGAAAUGGUUUCCUGCCUGCUGGAAGAGCUGGUCAAGGUACGGCAGGGACUCGCCGAGAGUGAGGAUGUGAUUCGCAACUUAAAGACUAAAAUCCAAGAGCUGGAAGAGGAUAAAAAACGGCUGCGCGAAACCACCACCGACAACUCGGUGGCACAUCUGCAGGACGAGCUGAUUGCGAGCAAGUUGCGCGAAGCGGAGGCAAGCCUUUCGCUGAAAGAUCUCAAGCAGCGCGUCCAGGAGCUGAGCACCCAGUGGCAGCGGCAGCUUUCCGAGCAGCGUAACGAUCCGGCCGCGAGCAGCGAUACCGGUGCGAAGAAGCUGCUGUUCUGGGAGUCGGGCCGGUCGCAGGAUUUGCAGAAGCUCGAGGAAGAGCUGAUGACCACCCGGAUACGGGAGAUGGAAACGUUGACCGAGCUGAAAGAGUUGCGGCUGAAGGUGAUGGAGCUCGAGACGCAGGUGCAGGUGUCAACCAACCAGCUCCGGCGCCAGGACGAGGAGAGCAAGAAGGUAAAGGAGGAGCUGGAGGAGGCGCUCAUCCGGGAGCGGGAGCUCGCGAACAAGGCGCGCGAACAGCAGCACCGCUACUCCGAUCUCGAAUCUCGCAUGAAGGACGAGCUGAUGAACGUGAAGAUAAAGUUUACCGAGCAAAGCCAAACGGUGGCCGAGCUGAAGCAGGAAAUUUCAAGACUGGAAACUAAGAACUCGGAAAUGUUGGCCGAGGGUGAGUUGCGAUCGAAUCUGGAUGAAUCGGACCGCGUCCGAGAUCUACAGGACAAGGUUGCCGAGCUAAAAGCGGAGUUUCCAACCCCAAUUACCAGUCCGGAGACUGAACCAUGGAAAUGGAUAGCGUAAGCAGCGUAUGUCAUUGCAUCCAGCAUUAACCAGUAUUACGAGACUAUUAGUUUUUUACACACACACACACACGCGCGCCAGACUGGGCGCACUGUGGAGAGACAAUUACCAUAAAGCGAAUCACGUGUCGAGUGAAUCAUCAUACCCAAGCAAGGACUACGGAACGAGAAGCUCCCGAAGAACGAGAGAGUCACAUUGCACAAAGCAAACAGCACAGCACAUCUUGCAAAUGGCUUCCAGGAGUGUUAACCCCCCUCAGAAAAAGAAACGGAACUAGAUUUUAGGAGCAGCGAAGGACGCAAAGCCAACACUCUACAUUAUCGUACUUAUAACUACUUUACUCAUCUCAGCUCAUAUUCGUACCCAACCAUAAGCGAUCACCGUAGAUGUGUGUAGAGCCGUGUGUUGAUGUGUGUGUGUGUGUGCGUGUUGAUUAGAGAUAAUUGGAUACCAAAUGUGUGUUUUGCGAAACAAACAAAAAGACGAGGACGAAAUCAUCAUCAGCAUCAUUCGAGGAUGGUUGAACGGAAUUGGAUUUGGGGCGCGUUGUAAGAUGGAAGCGAAAAAAAAGCUGACUGCCAUUAAAAGCCGUGGAACGGCUUUGAACCUGCGGAAGAUUAAGAGCACCUCGAUACAGUCGAUCGAUUCGAACGAGAUCGAUUUCGCCGAGAUACAGCUUUCGUCCAAAAUGAACAUUCCCGGACAGCAGCAGCAGCAGCAGGUAGCAGCAGCCGCAGCUGCCAGUUCCGGUUCUCCGUCGUGAAAGUGCGCCCGUAUUUCCGAUGCCGCCCGCUAUAUGCAUCAGGUGAAAAGUUGUGAUAGUGAGAGCUCGGUGAACCACGGUGUGGGCGGCAAGAAGCGGGCAAGCAUCGUUCCUCCUCAGCAAGUAUGUUUUACCUUUUUAAGCGAGUACGCAUAAGCCGCAGUGCGCACACUCAACGGAAGCAGAGGGCGGUGCAGUGCAGCCCGACUGCAUUGCAAACGUCCUGUAUGUAGAUUCAAUAAGUUACGUUAAACGCGUGUGUGCGAGAGCAACUUUCGCCCUACUACUACAGUCAGUUUAUCAUCCUUUUUUUAAAAUGUAGUUUCCUCUUUUUGUUUUUUUGCUAACAAUUCCACCAUUCCAGACAUUGUGAAUGUCGGUUUGAGAGAGAGAGAGAGUGAUGGGGUUUGUUUGCCUUUUCUACUUAACUACCUUCACCGCGAUUGCUGCACAAAAAGAAAAACUUGUCAGUAUUGUGUUAUACGUUUUUUUCCUUCUUCCUCAAAACUGUGUGCAAUAGGAUGUUGAUUUGUUAUUGCUUAUUUAAAAAGGCGGCAGGUUUUUGUGUUUGGUGGUGUAUGAAUGUGUCUCGCUUUCUGAAAUCGAGAUCAUUUCCUCACACUACUGCUGCAAUGCCCGCCACGCGUAAAGCAAGAUCACAGAUGAUGUAAAAAGGUUUUACGGUUUAGGUUUUUAGAGUUUAUAUUUCUGUUGCUGUACGAUGUAUGUAAAAUGUAUGUUUGGAGCUUCAGUUUUUCCGUACGAGUACGGACCAAUAGACACGAUUAUUUGGUGAGAUUUUUGUGUUUUUUUUUUGCUGCUUCUGUUGUAUCGUUUUGGUGUCGUUCAUUUUACCUGAGUAUAAUCGUGUUUUGUAUCCUUUUUUUCGGCCCUUUGUUUUGCUGACCCAAGUUUGAGCGCGUUCGGUUUAGCAAAGCGUAAAGAAAGCAUGCUAUCAAAGUGAGAGGAUUAGGAUGAAAAACCUAGAUUCUGGACAACCUCAACGAACCAUUACGAAGUUUAGUGAUAGUAGUGCGUAGUGGGGAGUGGUUGAGUAAACGGUUCAAGAAAAGAAAUACAUGCAUAGAGGAGCAUUGACUCAAACAAAUACAAGUUGGUGCAGAUUAAAAGCUGAAACAAAGAUACAACCUGAAACACAGACAUAGAAACACAGGUAAAAGGGUGCCAAACAAAAAAGAAGCAGGAACGAUUUAUCAUGAAGUAAAAAAACACAGCAAAACAGUAUCCCGAAUCCUUUCCGCCUCCAGGCACAGAUACGUUCAUACGUAGUUGCGUUGCGUUUGGUAGUGAGGUGAUCCCCCUUCCGGCGGAUCCGUUUUGCCAGAGUGGUCUGCCCGGCAUGCAUGCAAACUACUAGCACAUUCAACCUUUCUGCGAUAUUUAAUAAUUAGCCACACUAAGCAUAAACAGCAUACAAGCAUGCAUUAAUCGAUAACUUAGCUCAGUAGCGUUUGUCCCGGACCUUCUUCAAACUUCCCCUUAUUGAUAUUCCAAAGUUCUAGCUCCGGGCGGGUAUGUUUGCGAGAAUGUUUGCAAAAAAAAACAGCAAAAUUAAUUAAACACUUUAGCAGAUUAGAUGUACUUAAACGAUUUCUUCACAUCACGCACGCACACACACACACACGAUUGAUGUUUGCGAUUUUUAUAAGCCUUUCGUUGCGAUUUACGAUCAAAAUUAGUCUGCCAUCUGUGUGUGUGUGCGUGUGUGCUCUCGAGCGAGCGGCUUUACACAGCAAGGACCGAAAAAGGGGUAGGAAAAUCUGUUUUCUUUUUGGUAACAAAACACACACACACACACACAGACAUACAACAUGGACAUAACAGAACGCGAGAAGGAAACGAUCACAGGGUAACUCACCGUAACGGAAUUACACCGCAAGUACUUUUUGAGGGGAAUUGGUGCGAAACCAACCAAGGGACACAAUUGUGGAAUAUCAAUUUUAUACAUACAUACACCGUUUUCCAAACAAAGUCACACAAACACAGUCACAGAUACACACACUUAUCGUACGUGUAACGGUUUUGGUUCUCUGCGUUUUGCGAAGACGUUUACUACGGAGCAUUUCGGUGUGAUGGUUGCGAGUGUCUCAUUUAAAGUGGUGUAAGAGUGUAGCGAAAAAAACGAAAAAAAAAAAACGGAAAAACCGUGGUAAACUAAACUCAUAAUUGUCGUUUCGUUCCGAAGUGUUGGAUAGCGGAGAGGACGACCGCACGAGAAGCGUUCAUAUAGCGUUCAUACCUUGCAGUGGUAAUCGAAACACGUGUGUUAAAUCAAUAGGAAAAUGGAAAAUGAUACAGUAAUAAAGCAAAAAAAAAAAACGAAGAAAACAAA